CUGGAAUGAAUGGUUGGACAAGAGAUAAUCUGUCUUAAUUUAAGGUAUUGAAUUUAACUUUUAAGUGAAAAGGCUUAAAUGGUYUGAAGGGACGAUAAGACCCUAUAAAACUUUAUAUUUAAGGGUGUAAAUUAUUAUUAUUUUUAUAUUAUUAUCUAAAAGUAUUUGGUUGGGGCGACAAGGAUAGAAUUUUAAGUAACUGUUCUUUUUUUUUAACAAUAAUAUUUGGUUUAAUGAUCCUAAAAAGGAUUAAAGAUUAAGUUACUUUAGGGAUAACAGCGUAAUUUUCUUUG
rnacentral:rRNA from 1 species